UCGAAGAAGAGCCUAGACCUUGGAUGAGUAAUAUUAGGAUCAUUUUGAUACAUAGGUUGUUUAUCUUUGUAAACAAGAUAGGUUUGUCAUAUUCUGUACAGAUCUAUGAGGGAGACUACUUAUGAACUUUCCUUUGGGAAGGAAAUUUAUUUUUUAUAUCCAUAUUCUAUCAUUGAGGGAUUUUAAUUACAAAUUGUAUUAGUUGAAAAAUAUAUAUAUUUGUUCAAAAAUAUGUUUUACUUCUGACCACAUUCCAGCAUCUUUUCCCUGUGUGGUUGCAGUGCACUUCUUCACAGAUCUCUCUUGUUUCUACUCUUGUCCCCCCCCCCCCAGUUUACUUUUCACAUAAUGGACAGCAUGAUCUUUCAAAAAUGCGUAUCAUGUCACAUGACUCCCUUACUACAAGUCCUCUGCCAGCUUCCCCUCUAUACUUGUAACAAAAUCCAAGCUUUCUCACUAUGGCCUGCCAAGCCCUUUCUGAUCUGGCCCCUGCCUACUUCUCUCUGUCCUUACCUUUUACCACAUACCCCCUCGUUCCCUGCGUUCCAACUUCUUUGGCUUUGCUGCUCUCUGAAGACAAGACACUUCUUCCUGCCUUAAGGACUUUACACCUUCCCUUCUCUCUGCCUGUUCUGAUCUUUCCCUAGAUGGUUGCGUGGCUGUCUCCUCAUCAUUCAGGUCUCAGCUCAAGCAGCCUCUACAGAUAGGGAUUCCCUGACUAUCUGCCUAAGAUUACUUCUCCAUACCCCUAUUUUAUCACUCUCUGAAAAUGACAGAACACAUUUGCUAAUUUGCUGGUUUGUUAUGAUUGUUGUCUGUUUUCCGUUGAAAAAUAAAAGCCUCAGGAGGGUAAGGACUUUAUUUUUUCUUUAUUCCAGCUUCAGUUUUUCUAGUCUUCAUUAUAAAAUUCUUUCUUUUCUUUUCCUUUAUGACUUUUACUUAUCACUUUCUUCAUUUCCAUUUUCAUUUACCUCCUUAUUAUGCCCACUUCUCCCAUUUAGGAAGGUUAAAUCAUUUUUGGAAUUCAUAGGGCCCUGCUGUCCUAGUCAUUUAAAAAGAACAGUCAGUUUUUAUACAGAAGAUUCACAUUCCAGAGUUCCCUGGCUCAUUCAAAAAAACCAUUGAAAUAACAAAUACUUUUGCCAAAAUUAUACAUGCCAUAAUAGCUGGCUCAUUCUCUUCUUAGAAUUCUAUGCAACAUUGCCCCAUAGCAGACAAUGUUGCUUUGCCAUGACUCUGUGUGUGCGUGUGUGUUGGUGUGUGUGUGUGUACACUCACCUGGGAAUGUUUGUAUGUAUCGACACUAUUCUUGGAAGGAAGUAUACCUUUCCUCAGGUCCCAUGUUGCCACAUUUCUUUUAUCGUAAGUAACUAGAAUAAAAAUGUUUAUUUUUAUCUUAAAUAUAAGAGGCUGCAUCUCCCUGGCACAGCCCUCACUAAUUCCUGCCCAUUUGCCUGCUUGCCACUGAUUGGCAUGGCUGCCCCUUGGGUUCUGGGUUUAGCUGUUCGCUCUCUGUUGUGGUUCAUUUUUCUCCUCUGUUGCCUAAUAUAACACAAUGUGCAGAAAAGCCCUGGCACUGUUUGCUGGCUACAUGUUUUGAAUUUUCCCAGGGACUCUUUGGCCCUGUCAAACAUUCUCAUCCCUCCUCUGUGCACCCACACUUUUUAUAUAUGCCCACUUUACACAUUGCUCUUCCUCGGUUUCACAGGUCACAAAUCCCUAGCAGUUACCCACCGCUGCCUAACCCAGAAUAGACUGUCAGUUACAUUUGUCAAAUAAAUGUUUUGUGACGAUUUUUCACUUUCCUUUUGAAAUUUUGAUCUUCUUUGGGUUUGUUCAUCCACAUUUCUACAGGUAUAAUCAAGUGUAAAGGAGGCAUGUGUCACACCGACUUUCAGAGAGAAGACCCUCCCCAUAAGACAGAUGUCUUUGAUUAUGCAGUGCAGCUUGCCCAUGUAAACCUCUUGCAUUGUUUGGAGAUCCUAUCCCAUGCCAAGGAUCUAGCCACCCACAAGCAGGCACAUUGCUGUCCAAACAGAUGGACAAGGGAGAUAGGCAAGCCAAAGCCCAUGGACGAACAUGAAAUGAAUUGGUGCAGAGAAGCCAAAGGUAUUGGAAAUGAAUGCUAGUCUUUGCUGUUCAGUUUCCAGUGUAAGGAUGGACCAGUGUGGAUGAGGCUUCGAUACUGAGCUGCAAACAAAGGAAAAAGUGAAUGAGUACAAUAAGCUGGAUGUUUCAACAGGUGCAUGAAAGCCCACACGAGCAUGAGUAGCUCCGAAAUGCUUAAGUCAGUGCACCUUUAUGUCAUCUUCAGCGGAGUCAGUUCUGAAAAGACACCCCUGGGCCAAUCACCCAUCAACAAUCAUUCAUUCUUUAUUCAAAAAAUAUUUGUCGAGCAUCUAACAUGUUGGAGACACUGGUCGGCACCAGGUAAGUAAACGUCCUGACACCAGACUCGUGUAGUCUCUGCUCUAUUAGAGCUUACUUUCUAUAAUUAGUACAUAAUUAGUUAUUUAAUUAUAAUUAUAAGUGCUGUGACAUACAGGGAGCUAAGAUGAUGUAUAAGGGAGGCUCUGGAUGUGUAGGAUCUGGAAGGACAUCUCUGAGGAAAUGAUAUUUAGGUUGAAAUCUGAAGAAUGUGUGGAAGUUGAAGUGGGAGGGGGGUGUGGUGGAGCAGAGAGCAGGGGAACAUUCUUGACAUAAUAAUAUCCACUUUAUAAUGUCCCUUUGAAGUAGCAAUUAGCUGUUUAAACUUUUGAGAAAGGGAAUUCACUCCCUCCAGAGACAUUUGGAGUGCUCUGUCAGUCACACCUUCAUUUUGAACCCAGAUCUACCUCUCUGAAGCUUCUUAUCUUUGGUUUUAUAUUUACUUCUUAGGACCUUGUGGAACGAGCCAACUCCCUCCUGUGACAGCAAUGGUUCUUCAAGGUUUCUCCCCUGUGGGCAGUUAUUUAACCUUGCAAAACCUUGGGUUUUUUUCAUCCAUAUCUGGGGCUAAUUAAUAGCAUCUAUUUCAGAGAGUUGAUGUGAAGAUUACAUGAAAGAGUCUAUAUAAAGUGCUUGGUUUAGUGCUCAAUAAAUGGUAAUUUUUACCAUGAUUAUUACUAUAUAAAAGUCAUCUGUAUACUGAUCUUUAUUAUUGGAUUGUAUACUCCUUAAGGGAGGGACCAUGGAAAAAGCACGCAUUUGGAAUCAGAUAAAUCUCAGAUCAAAGCCUGGCUGAAAUAAGUACUAACUCCAGAUAUGUGACCAGUUCUUGUAGACAUUCUAAAAAUCAUGUUCUCACCUUACUUCCCGAAAUUAUUGCAAGAAUCAAGGAGUUAAUCCAAGGCAAGAUUUCAGCACAAUACCUUGCAUUUAGUAAUCAGUGUUCAAUUAAUAUGUAUUUCCUUUCCCCGUUAUGGUCCCCCAGUGGUUUGCACAGUAUGUGGUUACUUACCUGUGUAUUUAUAAUUCAACACCCGCCUACUUCUAAAAAGUAUGGGGCCUGUUAGGUAGUAGCUAGUAAAUAUUUGUGAAUGAAUAGAAUGGGCAGAUGAAUGAAAUUUUGCCUACUUAACCACCUUUCUUAUAGGGGAACUGCGGAAGAUUUCCCCAGCAAAAGGUAGAAGCUUGAUGUCUUAUAGAUGAAGACUGGGGAGACUGGGAAGACCCAUCCAGGGUACUGACACUGGUCUUCGGGGGCCAGGAUCCCUGCUCAUGCCUCAAGCUACCUGUAAUGAAAAGUCCAGUGUCUGCCACCUGUCUCACAGAUCUGUCCUGAGGAUUAAUGAGAUCAUGUCUGUAGAUAAAGCCUGAGAAGUCUUCAGAAGGAAAUUACAGGAGGAUUCUUAUUUUGGGUGGCCACCUUGCAGAGGACCAUAGAAUUUUGGGUGAGCCCCUCAAUGCCUGGAUUUACUGUUGGAGAGACUGUGCAGUCUACAUUAGAUAAUUUACUGUGAAGCGUGGAAACAUUUGAAAAGGAAACCAUGCCUGACCCGGCUGUUCUCAGACUUUGUCAAAAGGAGAAUUUCCCAUUCUUUCAGCUGUGACAGACUUGAUUGUUAAGACAAAUUGGUGAGUAAAUUUACUGUAGUAUCUUAGGGACUUUUGCAUCGAGUAAUUUAUUA